CCUUUGGCCCGCCUCCCUCUGGCCUCGCCCCGCCUCGCCCAUCCGCCGCGGCGCGCUGAGCGGGGAGGUGCGAGGGAGCCGCCCCCGCGGUCUGCGCGCUCGCCCGGCGGCUCCCGAGUCCGCGUUCCAAGUGGAACCGGAGCCCGGGCGCGGGCGCCCACGUUCCAUUCCCGGGAAGGCCUGGGAAGGGAGGGAAUCGCUCACCCGCCAGCCCGCCUGCAGGGAAAGGGCUCCUGGAGCUGUCGAUGCCUGCCCGACGCUGAGAUAACUCUUGGGUCCCAGUUAUCCACCAGCCACUUCUGCCUCGAUUCACCAAAGGGCAGGGAAAGAACCUUUUGGUGAGAUGGUGUGAAUUAGCGACAUCCAGCCUGAGCUGAAGUCUCCAGCGGGUCAAAGAAAUCUUUCCAUUUGCAAACUACCAAGGCUGACUUGCUGUGCAUUUGGCGGGCCUCCUGCCCCUGAUUCUGCUGGUUUGGAGAUGCUUUCUCGCUCUUUGGUUGGCUUCUGUCUCCACACAUUGUGGGGAUCCCAGGGAUUCGUCAUAGGACUCUCGGAUCGCUGGUGCCUCCACUGUGAUCUCCGGUCUCCCUGCGGCCAGCACUGACUUCUAGCAACAGAAUCCUGCAUGAGGGCCUAGGCACAGAACUUUAUUUCCACUCUUCUGAACACAUCUAAUGUGAUGCUCUGCAAUUGUCUGAAAUUUAUCCUACCCUAAGUCAUUAUCUUGUCCCCUUCUCUGGAACCUGCUUCACUUCCCGUAUCCCAAGUUCUGGAAGCUGGACGGUCCAAGAUCAUGCUGCCAGCAGAUUUGUGGUCUGGUGAGGGUCUACUUUCUGGUUCAUAGACUGCACCUCCUAGCUGUGUCUUAUGGUAGAAGGGGCAAAAGAGCUCCCUUGAGCUGCUUCUCUAAGGGCACUAAUCCCAUUUGUGAGGGCUCCAGCCCCAUGAUGUAAUCACCUCUCAGAGGCCCCAGCUCCUUAUACCAUCACUUUGAAGGUUAGGAUUUCAAUGUAUGAAUUAUGGGGGGGGAACACAAACACCCAGACCAUAGCAUGUGGAACACCGUCUGACAUGUACGUGCUAAUAGUGUUAGAAGUAGUCUUUGCUCUUAUAUCUUAAUUAUGAUAACUGUUUUCAUCUAUGAUAAUUGCUUUUGUGGAUGUCUUUGUUAGUGUUAGAAGUGGUCUUAGCUCUUAUAUCUUAAUUAUGAUAACUAUUUUCAUCUAUUAUAAUUGCUUUUGUGGAUGUCUUUGUUCCAGCUAGGCUGUGAGUUUCUGGAGGGCUCCAUGCCAAUCCUAGAGGCUUCUAUAACAAAUACUUACUAAACACCUACUAUAUGCCAGGCACAAUACUAGGAGAGACGGCAAUUCAUUAAAUAGGGGAAAAGCCUAGCUCUCAUAGAGGUGAGCUUAUAUUUUACAGGGUUUGAGGGGAUUUAGAAGAGAGAUUGCCCAGGCUGGCAUGGGUAGGGAAGGUAGGUAGGGCCAGAUCAUAGGAAGCCUCAGAUGUGUGUUAAGGAGUACAGACUCUCUAUAGUUAAUGAUAACAUAAAUAGGCCUUUUUUUUUUCUUUCUAGAGUGUCAGUUCCUAUUUAAAACAAAAUCUGAAAUCUUCCUGAAACUAUAUCCUCACCCUUAAAAGAAUUCAAAUUGAUUGGAAAUGUGUCUGCACAUACAUAAUUCAGAGUUAUAUGUGUGCUUACCCAAAAUUUUCUUUACAAAUUAUUGCAAGAAAUGUAAUCAUUAAAAAUUCGCAGCAAUUUUUGUGUAAUACCACUUAAAUAGCAUUUGGUCCAUUGCACCCUAAAUCUUACAUUUUGGAGUUUCAAUAUUAAUUUCAAUCUUAAUUUUCAUAAACCCAACACCAGCCAUCUAAUAUAUUUCCUGUUCAAAUACUUAUUCAUUCCUUCUGGCUUACUAAGGUUCCCUUUUGUGCUUUUAUGUUAAUUUGUUUCUCCCCUUUAGAGUGCCCAGCUUUUGCUCAAGCAGGCCCUGAGGCUGUAAAUUUCUCUCCCUACCCACGGAAUUCCUUCCUUUAAUACCCAUCUGAAGACCUUACUUCUAAUAAGAAAUUUUCCAUUAUUAAAUAAGUGACGUGCACAAAGUUUUUUUCAUCUCAUUUCCACAAUCCUGUUGUCACAUUACAAAUUUCCAUCAUCUGUAGCAUCUGGAAAUACCGAGUGGGAUAGAUAACAUGGCCUGGCUGCUGUUUGUUUUUUUUUUCAUCAGUGUGCUAGAUCUUCCUGGACACGCUGCACAAAUCUCACCUCAGUCUUAGUGCCACCGUGGACGCUGGAAGGAGCCAUUUUAAAAGGCAACCUUAAACAGUUCAGUCUAAUUUAAUAUUAGUGGCCUCCACACCUCUGACUCUUGUAUUAUUAGAAUUGCCUGUUUGGCUUUUAUUUUCCAGUGUGAACUGAUGAAACAGACACAAAGUGAAGUACCCGUUGGUUUCGCGGUCUCCACCUCGAGAGGAAAUCCAAAAGGAGUUUCUGGCAUGUGUGGUGUUGCUUAGCAAUUUACCCAAACAAACAUGUUUCCUCCUCAUUUUUUUCCCCAGUACUUAUUUACUCAAGAACAUUGUAAAAUCAAUUUUUACCACUUGACAUCUGAAAUCAUUAGAAGAAAAUCUGGUGUUUUGGGCUUUAUGAGAAGAACUGCUAACCACACAUGAAUGCAGUAUGCUGCUACCACAAAUUACGCAGUUGAGUUUCCCACAUUUGGAGAAAUCACAGGGAUCAGCAAGUCUUCAGUGGAAUAGAGAAGCCUUGCCCUAGGGAAAACUACCCUUGUGGUCAUGGUAUCUACCCUGCCUGGUGAAGAAGGUCCUUGCUUCCCCUUCUCCUUCCGCCAUGAUUGUAAGUUUCCUGAGGCCUCCCCAGCCAUGUAGAACUGUGAGUCAAUUAAACCUUUUUCCUUUAUAAAUUACCCAGUCUUGGAUAGUAGCUUUAUAGCAGUGUGAAAAUGGACUAAUACAGUAGCCUUUGACCUUUCUUCUUAAAGAUAAGGAUAUUAGCAAAUGUAAACUUUUUACCAACAAACACCUUUUAAAAUAAAUAUCUUUUACAUUUGCCAAAGUCUAUAAACUUUCAUUUUGUGGUACAACAGUAAAUAUAACUUAUUUUAUAUAUUUUAAUUUUUCAUUGUUCACUACCAGUACUUUUUUAAAAGUAUAUUAUCUUUAUAGAUAGUCAUUAACAUAUUGUUAAAUUUAUAUUUUAUAGAAGAUAGUUCCUAGUAUUGUUUAAUUUGUAGAGAUAAAAGAGAAAAUAUGCAGAUCCAACUUCUAAGAGCAUUCAAUAUUAUACACCAAGCUUAUUCCUGAAAACAAUGACCCAGAAAACCACAUGAAAGAGUUUUAUUAUGGAUAUCCUAAAACAAGUAACUAUAAGUUUCAGAUAUAUAUAGAAUAUUCCACAGUUCCUAUAAUAAAAAUUCAUGAGUUUUCUGAUCACCUUCAAUGUUUGUACUGAGUUAACACACCGCUGUUACAUUAAAGCAAACCAUUAAAAAUAAAGCUAGUUUUCUCUCUUUUUUUCAACUUUUAUUUUAGACUCAGAGGUAUAUGUGCAGGUUUGUUACCUGGGUAUAUUGUGUGAUGCUGAGAUUUGGGGUAUGAAAGAUCAUGUCAUCCAGGUACUGAGCAUAGUACCCAAUAGUUAGUUACUACCAGUACUUUACUAACAUGAAUUUUUCUUCCUUGAAUUUUUUUCUCUUUAUUUAAACCUUCUGGAGUAGAUUUUUUAUUAGGUGUUUUUUUUUUGGUUUGUUUUCAAAGAACAACCCAUUAAUGCUUCAUUAUUCCCCAAAACUGUUUAAAAUUAAGAAGGCCUUUCUGUUACCAUAGACAUAAAACGAAUGGAUUGGGCAUUAUAUUUUUCAGUUUAAUCUUUUCUCCUCCUCUUUAGGAUUUUCUAAAUAUUCCUCCACUUUCCUCUGCCAUUAAAUGUUGUUAUGGGAAAAGUAGGAGGUCAGAUUAAACCCAUUGUUUUUCUCUCAGGCUGAGUAGAUGAGUAUUUUAUUAUGAUUAUUAUUUGGCCCAAAAGUUAUGUCUGUUUAGUGAAAUUAUUAUUAUUACUAUUGUUAUUGUUAUCCUGCUCUCAGAUACAUCUUUCUGUUGAUUAUUCAGCAUAAUUAUUUACCUAGGAGAUAUUGUGCAUGUUUAAUCAGCAAAUUCAAAUUUUUACUUAUUUUAACAAGGUUUUCUUCUUUUAUAAUUUCAAAUAAUCUGCUGUUUCAUUAAUUCUGUAAAUUUAGCAAUACCUAUUACGCAUAUGUUGAGCUACUGUGUCAUGUUUCUGUAUUAUCUCCUUUCUAAUUUCUCUUUCUGUCAUUUUCUAUUUUUAUUUUUAAUAGGAUUUUUAUAAAUCUUGACCUUCAUAUUAUUGUACCAUUCAUGAUUUUGUGGUUUUAAAGGUGGCUUUUCUUUUCCUAAUUAUUUAUUGAAAAUCUUUAAUUCCUCCUGUGAAUUCUGCCAGCUCACUUUUCAUUUUUCCAUGGUCAUGUAUUUUAUUUUAUAUUUUUCAUUCUUUUUUAAAGUUAAAAUUAUUUUUAAAGGAUUUCUGUUCCUGGCUCUGAUGGAGCAACACGGACAGAUUUACCCUCUUACUUAAACAAAAUACAGACAAAAUUUAUAAAGGAUGGUUCUGAAACAUGGGACAACAGGCAGUAUAAACAGUAAUUUUUCAAAGAAGAUAAAAAAAGGAAGUAAACCCUAUGGUUUCUCUACUGAUUCCCUAGAAAGAGAUUUCAAGCUAUCAGUCUCACUCAAUUGAGAAGACAGAGUUCAUUGAGAAUUUGGGGAAAGUCAAAGUGGACAGAAUUCACAAAGAACUAAAAAAAAGAGUAUUGUGCAGAGAAAGAGCUCCAGCUACCUCCACAGAGUUUCCCUUGAGUUUUCAGAUCAUGCGUUUGGUGAACCCACCUGAGGCAAGGGAAAGAACUACCAGAAAGAAGCAGGUGGAAAAAUUCCUGAUGUUCACAUAGACCGGGAAAUUUCUCAAGUUUUUGUCAUCUGAAUUGAAGAAAUCUUAUACUGUAUGAGGUGUUGAAGAGAAUACUCAGAAGGACAAUGCCUCCGUAGUAGGACCAAACUAGCCUAGAGUAAAGGCUGGUCUGUCUUGUAUGACUCCUUGUGAAACUAUUCUGCUGAGUAUGUCACCAAUUUUCUUAGCGAAUCUAAGUGAUUCCAAGUAAUAAGUUGAAAUUUUCACUAUUUGUAUGUUUUUAUUGAUUAUUCAUUGUGGUUCUAAUAGUUUUUGGUUUAUAAUAUUUUGUUGGUCUGUUAUUUGCUGCAUAGUGGUUUAUGAUAGUUAUAUCUUUAUUGGAUCUUUAACAAUGUAGAAUAAGUUCUUUGUUUCAUUUCAUGUUAUUUGUUUCUAAAUUUUACUUCUUAUUUAACAGUAAUGUUGCAAAUCUUUAAAAAUGUUUUACUUUAUUUGUAAGGAAAACACCUAAAGCAAAGUGAAACAAUAAGUGAUGUAGGAUCUAUUAUUAUUAUUUUCCAUCAUGUGAAUCUUUGUCUUAACAGAGAGGCUUCGUCUAUUUAUAUUUGUUGUUACAAUUGAUUUCUUUCAUCAUUCUGUUAUUUCAGUGUUUCUCUUGAAAAAUAGGUUCUUGUUAUUCAAUGAUUUAGUUUUCACUUUAUGUAUCGUUUUCUUUAUUUUGUCCUUCAUAUUUUGCAAGCUAUAUAGCCUCUGUUAAAUUCCAUUAAUGGAUAUCUUUAAGCACUCUUUGACAUGUAAUUUUCUAAUGUCUCAGUAAAUAAAGAAUUUGUCAACAUAAAAUGUGUGUGUAGGCCAGGUGCGGUGGCUCAUGCCUGUAAUCCCAGAACUUUGGGAGGCCAAGGUGGGUGGAUCACCUGAGGUCAGGAUUUUGAAACCAGCCUGACCAACAUGGCGAAACCCCGUCUCUACUAAAAGAAUACAACACUUAGCCGGACGUGGGGG
rnacentral:lncRNA from 1 species